rnacentral:rRNA from 1 species
AUUGAACGCUGGCGGCAGGCUUAACACAUGCAAGUCGAGCGGGGUGAUGGUGCUUGCACUAUCACUUAGCGGCGGACGGGUGAGUAAUGCUUAGGAAUCUGCCUAUUAGUGGGGACAACAUCUCGAAAGGGAUGCUAAUACCGCAUACGUCCUACGGGAGAAAGCAGGGGAUCACUUGUGACCUUGCGCUAAUAGAUGAGCCUAAGUCGGAUUAGCUAGUUGGUGGGGUAAAGGCCUACCAAGGCGACGAUCUGUAGCGGGUCUGAGAGGAUGAUCCGCCACACUGAGACUGAGACACGGCCCAGACUCCUACGGGAGGCUGCAGUGGGGAAUAUUGGACAAUGGGGGGAACCCUGAUCCAGCCAUGCCGCGUGUGUGAAGAAGGCCUUAUGGUUGUAAAGCACUUUAAGCGAGGAGGAGGCUCUUUUGGUUAAUACCCAAGAUGAGUGGACGUUACUCGCAGAAUAAGCACCGGCUAACUCUGUGCCAGCCGCCGCAGUAA